AGAUUUUAGGAACAAUUUGCAGGCGGAUUCUUCAGUUGUCUUGCAUUCGGGUCUGCUGUAGGAAAACUGAGGCAACGAUUACGGAUUUUGCAGACAUUGAAUCGACAUCACUGUUGACUGUAGGUUGACAUUCACGUUCCAGUCCAGUUGCAAAUCAGAGUUUCUUUAUUGAUAGAACCGUGCCAAUUGAAAGGUUUAAAACGGAACAGCAGCUAAACUGUCAAAGCUCUACAGUUU